rnacentral:rRNA from 11 species
GCUUAUGUGCCUAAAUAUCAUAUCAGGCACAAGAUCCCAUCUGAUCCUGGAAGCUAAACAGGGAUAGCCCUGGUUAGUAUUUGGAGGGGAGACUGCAAGAAUACCUGCUGCAGUAAGCU